AUAUGAAAAAUAAAAAAAUUUGAAUGCUUUUUUGGGUUGCUUCUUUUCGGAGUAUUUUUGGCUAAUUUUUUUAAAAUAGGAAAAAUCAAUUUUGGAAGUAUUUUUCUAGUUUGAUUCUUUAAUCUAAUGUGGUAUUGAUAGUAGAUCAUAUGCAUGUGCUUCAUUGAGAUUAUGGAUACCAUUUUGAUUUUUUUAAUAAUUUCUUUUUUCAUUUUUGAAGCAUUUUUGACGGACUUUUUUAAAAAUAGGAAAAAUAAUUUUUUUAAAAUGUUUUUAUGGUUUGAUGCUUGAAUUUGAAUGUUUUUUUUUAUUGUAGAUCAUAUCCAUGUUCUUUGUAGAGAUUAUGUACACCAUUUUGUAUAUUUUUAGUAUUUUUUAAUUUCUGAGUAUUUUUGGCUGAUUUUUUUUUUUUUUUUUAAAUAUGAAAAAUAAAAAGUUUUGAAUGCUUUUUUGGUUUGCUGCUUGAAUCUGAUGUGAUAUUGAUAGUAGAUCAUACCAUGUGCUUCUUCGGGAUUAUGGAUGCUAUGUUGUAUUUUUUUUUUUUCCAGAGUAUUUUAGCUAAUU